ensembl:snoRNA SNORD116 Small nucleolar RNA SNORD116
CCAAUGGUGAUGACUCUUCCAUAAGUAUUCCUUGGAAAAUUUGAACAAAAUGAGUGAAAACUCACUCUCAUCAUUCUCAUUAGAAUGUGUGAG